rnacentral:rRNA from 1 species
AGAGUUUGAUCAUGGCUCAGAUUGAACGCUGGCGGCAUGCCUUACACAUGCAAGUCGAACGGUAACAGGUCUUCGGAUGCUGACGAGUGGCGAACGGGUGAGUAAUACAUCGGAACGUGCCCGAUCGUGGGGGAUAACGAGGCGAAAGCUUUGCUAAUACCGCAUACGAUCUACGGAUGAAAGCGGGGGAUCUUCGGACCUCGCGCGGACGGAGCGGCCGAUGGCAGAUUAGGUAGUUGGUGGGAUAAAAGCUUACCAAGCCGACGAUCUGUAGCUGGUCUGAGAGGAUGAUCAGCCACACUGGGACUGAGACACGGCCCAGACUCCUACGGGAGGCAGCAGUGGGGAAUUUUGGACAAUGGGCGAAAGCCUGAUCCAGCCAUGCCGCGUGCAGGAUGAAGGCCUUCGGGUUGUAAACUGCUUUUGUACGGAACGAAAAGCCUCUUUCUAAUAAAGAGGGGUCAUGACGGUACCGUAAGAAUAAGCACCGGCUAACUGCGUGCCAGCAGCCGCGGUAAUACGUAGGGUGCAAGCGUUAAUCGGAAUUACUGGGCGUAAAGCGUGCGCAGGCGGUUUUGUAAGACAGAGGUGAAAUCCCCGGGCUCAACCUGGGAACUGCCUUUGUGACUGCAAGGCUGGAGUGCGGCAGAGGGGGAUGGAAUUCCGCGUGUAGCAGUGAAAUGCGUAGAUAUGCGGAGGAACACCGAUGGCGAAGGCAAUCCCCUGGGCCUGCACUGACGCUCAUGCACGAAAGCGUGGGGAGCAAACAGGAUUAGAUACCCCGGUAGUCCAA